UACGUAGGGUGCAAGCGUUAAUCGGAAUUACUGGGCGUAAAGCGUGCGCAGGCGGUUGUGCAAGACCGAUGUGAAAUCCCCGGGCUUAACCUGGGAAUGGCAUUGGUGACUGUACGGCUAGAGUGUGUCAGAGGGGGGUAGAAUUCCACGUGUAGCAGUGAAAUGCGUAGAGAUGUGGAGGAAUACCGAUGGCGAAGGCAGCCCCCUGGGAUAACACUGACGCUCAUGCACGAAAGCGUGGGGAGCAAACAGG
rnacentral:rRNA from 1 species